rnacentral:misc_RNA from 1 species
CACCCGCACGUACAGAUGGACAAGAAUAGGCCUCGGCUUAGCGUCUUAGCAGGCGAUUCUUCCACGGCGCUCGAAGCGCGUCGUGGUAUUUCGCGUAUUGUAAUUUCAACACGAGCGGGGUCAAAUCCUUUGCAGACGACUUAGCUGUGCGAAACGGUCCUGUAAGCAGUAGAGUAGCCUUGUUGUUACGAUCUGCUGAGGGUAAGCCGUCCUUCGCCUCGAUUUCCCCAGCCAAGUGACCGUCAGGCCACGGAGCUUUGCAGGGGAUGGGACGCCGGGGGUGCAGGGUAGGCGGGUGAGACUUGGCCGAAUCUGGCGCGGGAAGUAUAGGGUAGGAGUCUAGGGUAAGCCGGUCUGACUUGGUGAUUCUGCUGCGCCGCUGGUGGUGCGGAGGGUAUAGGGUAGUGGUACAGGGUAGGCUGGCUGGACUUGGUGAAAUUCUACCAUAUCCCUACUGGUGCGGAAGGUAUAGGGUAGGCGGAUCUGACUUGGCGAAACUCAGCGCAUCGUCUGUGGUACGAAAGGUAUAGGGUAGGUACAGGGUAGGCGGCUCCCACCCGCCUACCCUAGAGCUCAUCUUUGCAGCGCUCUGGCGCGCGCCACAGGCGUCGCCUGGAGGUGUGAAGACUACCAUUCGGAUCGCCGUCGGCAGCUCUAUGCGUAUGCCAAGUUUGAAAAAAAAAAUGCGUGCAAAAUGGUUUCGCGGUUUGGUGGCCGUGAGUCGAUUUUUUUGUUUUCCCAUACAAAUGAAUUUUGCGGAAAAUGAAAAGUGGCCCGCGAGCCCCGUCUGGCGUGCGGCGCACUGAAAGUGCGUCGGUGGGUAUGUGAUGGGGGGGUUCUGGCCUGGCCGGGGCCCGCGCCGCACCCCAGGGUAGGUAAAAGCGAAAAAGUUGUUAAGAGGCGCGGUGGCGCUGUGCUUGUCUUGGUGGGAGAGAAAUUUUUUGACCGGUCUAGGGUAGGCGGGCUGGACUUGGUGGUUUUGCCCGCUAGGUUGUGGCCUGGGCCUUGGGGCGCUGGGUGGUGUAGGGUAGGCCAGAUCUAGUAUAGGGUAAGCUCCAUAUAGUAUAGGGUAGGUCGGUCCCGGUACAGGGUAAGCUACUAGGUGGUAUAGGGUAGCUCCAGGGUAAGCGGAUCUGACUUGGUGCUUUCGCAUUGUUGCAUCACAGUGGGUAUAGGGUAAGUGAGAUUUAGUAUAGGGUAGGCUGAAUCUGGUAUAGGGUAAGUGACUCUUAGUCUAGGGUAGGUGAGGAUAGGUCUAGGGUAGGUACAGGGUAAGUCAAAAUCAGUGUAGGGUAGGUCGAUUUUGGUGUAGGGUAGGUACAGGGUAGGUCAGAUUUGGUAUAGGGUAGGUGAGAAAAUCCGCAAAAAUCAGGGCAUCCCACCAAAUCUGGUCUCGACCCGUCAGAUGGCUCACAGCUCUAGCAAUCACCAGUUGAAAUUCCCAGACGGAUGGUCCGGCAGGGUCAUCUCGCCAACGGCUGGCCGCACCACCCCCUGGGGGCACCAUCCGACGCGUCUCGACGAGACGAUCACAACGGUGUAGGCCACGGCUCGGUGGGACGCCCGCCCGAGGCGUGGCGGCCGUUUGAAGUUGGCGGAGGUAUAGGGUAGGUGGGUCCAGGUGUAGGGUAGGUGAAAUUUUUGGUCUAGGGUAGGUGGUCGGUCGGUCGUCGGUGAAAUUUUUGGUCUAGGGUAGGUGACCUGGUCUAGGGUAGGUACAGGGUAGGCGGCUCUCACCCGUCUACCCUGGAGCUCAUCUUCGCACCGCUCUGGCGCGCGCCACAGGCGUCGCCUGGAGGUGUGAAGACUACUGUUGGAAUCGCCGUCGACGGUUCUGUCUGUAUGCAGACUUUGAAAAAAAUGCGUGCAAAAUGGUUUCGCGGUUUGGUGGCCGUGAGUCGAUUUUUUUGUUUUCCCAUACAAAUGAAUUUUGCGGAAAAUGAAAAGUGGCCCGCGAGCCCGGUCUGGCGUGCGACCCACUAAAAGUGCGUCGGUGGGUAUGUGAGAGGGGGCAAACCAGCCAAGCCGGAAACGGCGAAAGCUGGGCCGCCCACCUACCUCUCAGUGGCUUCGUGCCGCACCAACGUACCUGAUCUUUCAGACCUGCACUGCGCAGCCGUCACAGUUCGUGAGGAGCUACUCGCUUACGGGCGGCUGUAGUGCAUGGUCGACCCCCACGAACGCGGCAGACCCGUUCUGCACGCCUACUGGGGAUACCUGUGGCGGUCAGGCUUGCCUGGCCCCCUCGGAUGGGCUCUGUGGAUAGCUGGCCACUGGCCAAAUCUACAAACGAGCAGCAGGAGGCAACUGAGCAUGGCGGUUUCCCGCCAUGUGCAGGUCCUCCUCUUGGGGCUCCCAAGCUGCACCCCUCUGUGAGUGCGGCGGAAGGUGCCCUGGGGAAGUGAGAGGGGAAAAGCGGAUCGCCCUGCGCGGCGCUGCAGGCCCUGGCCAGCAGCGCUUCAGCGGGUGCGCCUCCGGGCGUAAUCAGUAACUUGGAAAUCUCUCCGGCGCCCUCACAGGCGUCGGUAGGCCAACCCCGGCGAACGAUAGUUACC